rnacentral:rRNA from 1 species
GAUAAACGCUGGCGGCGUGCCUAACACAUGCAAGUCGAACGAUCCCGCAAGGGAGAGUGGCGGAAGGGUGAGUAACACGUGGGAAUCUACCUCCUCGCAGGGAACAACCUCUCGAAAGAGAGGCUAAUACCCAAAAGGGUCAGAAAUGAUCAGAGUCGAAAGGCGUGAGGAGAGGAGCCCGCGGCCCAUCAGCUAGUUGGUGAGGUAAUGGCUUACCAAGGCUACGACGGGUAGGGGAUCUGAGAGGAUGUCCCCCACACUGGAACUGAAACACGGUCCAGACGCCUACGGGUGGCAGCAGUGAGGAAUAUUGGACAAUGGGCGAAAGCCCGAUCCAGCAACGCCGCGUGGAGGAUGAAGGCC